CCUUGGGAGCAUUUCGGUAAGACAACUCAGGCAGGCUUUACUUAGGCCACUCCCCUAGGGCGGGUCAGUUAAUCAACUCACUUGUGCAGCAUCCUAUUUAAGUCCAGCCGAGCCGCUGUCCAUGCUACGUGGGAUGGCGACCUUCCUCAUCUACGUAAUCUCCUUGGACCUUGGUUAUCCUUUUAUUCGCCUGCUCCUCUGUGGCCUUCCUAAGGUGCGUCCCUCCAGGAAUGACUAAAUGUUACUUCUCUCUUACUAUUGGUGCAUAUAUAAAAUAUAUUUUGGUGAUAUAUUACGUGCAGAUUCUGUAUUGACUGUCUUUCUUGUUGGGAUCUAUGCUAAUGGUUUUCUAUGGUACUAUGAAUACAGAACCUUCUCUUUAAACUCACUACUUGAUAUCUCCUUCUCAGAGUUGUUCUUAAAAGGAAUUCAUUCCCUUUCAUCAUAAGCCUUCUAAACUAAUCAGGUAUAAAUUAUUUAUGUAUUCAUUGCCAAGACUGAUACUGCUUUGUCUAUCUAUGCAUCGCUUCCUGAGCCUGCGGCCCACUCUCCCCGGUCAGCAAUCCAGUUUCUGGAGGAUGAUGUCAAACCCUUGACAAAGUCGGAUGGUUUCCAAAUUCCAAAGUCUCUGCUCGUCCUGCUGCUCCCCUGCAGAUUGUUGCCCCUUCACCCGAUCUGGAUAUACAACGACGACUGCAUUCCACGCACCUACUCUGCCCUGAAGUGGUGGGGUGGCAAACCUCUUCCGAAUUUCAAUGACUUAUCUUACUUGAAUCAACUGAUAUGUUAGUAUCAGAAUGGCAUACAAAAUUUCAGAUUAGAUUUUAUGAAAAUUAUUUGCCAGGUGGAAGCCUCAAAAUUAGGAUGUUCUUAAGCUGUGUUACGAUAUGUGUGUAGUCCGAAAUUCGAGGUUACUUGGGCUCGUAUCUUAUGAGCCGGAUGAAAGCAUUAAAAAAUUAUAGCGUUAGCUCAUUCAUAGUUCUCAAAUGGAAGCUUUUAAUUAUGGAUAUCACUUAUGCUUUAUUAUAUUAUUCCAGUGGAAGCUUCAAACUUGUAUGUUAAGUUGUGCCGUCUACUUGCCGCUACUCGGAAUGGAGUGGCCCGACGGUCUACGGUGCCGGGUCACAUAACGGAUCCACCAGAUCGUGUGUUCCCUUCUUGGCGUCGUGCUGGAACGGGAGCGGCCCAAUGGUCAAUGGUGCCGGGUCACACAUAGCAGACUCAAUAAAUAGUAUGUUCCCUUCUUGGCAUUCUGCUCGAACGGGAGCGGCCCAAUGGUCAAAGGUGCCGGGUCACACAUAGCAGAUCCACUAGAUAGUGUGUUCCCCUCUUGGCGCUGUACUAGAAUGGGAGCGGCCCAACGGUCAAAGGUGCCGGGUCACACAUAGCAGAUCCACUAGAUAGUGUGUUCCCUUCUUGGCGCUGUACUCGAAUGGGAGCGGCCCAACGGUCAAAGGUGCUGGGUCACACAUAGCAGUCAUACUUGUAAGUCUGAAUAUGGAAUGCCUCUGAAACACACUUCAUCUGAUUACAUACUGAUAUACAUUUAAUUUCUUUCCAACCUUGAUUAAAUUGGUGUUGGGGGUAGUUAUUACCCAAAAGUUUAUGGAAAUUUCUCUCUCUUGGAAUUGCACGGAGUUUUAUGCCAAACCAAAGGAAAGUGAAAUGCAAAGUUAAAGGAAAGUGAAAUGCAAAGUUAAAGGAAAGUGAAAUGCAAAGUUAAAGGAAAGUGAAAUGCUUACUUGGAGGAAUAUGAAAUGCUUACUUGGAGGAAUGCGAAAUGCUUACUUGGAGGAAUGCGAAAUGCUUACUCAGAGGAAAGUGAAUGCUAACUAAGGAAAGUGAAUGUCAAAGAAUGUGAAAGCAACAAGUAUGUGGAAGCAAACUAAAGAUGUGAAAAUAAAUAUUAUUACUACUGCA